rfam:Hordeum vulgare subsp. vulgare, WGS project CAJW01000000 data, contig: morex_contig_158885
CAUAUACUCCCUCGGUCCCAAAAUUCUUGUUAUUUUGUAAAAAUGAUUGUAUCUAAAUAUUAAAGUGUGACUAGAUACAUUCAUAUCUAGAAAAAUCUAAGAUAAAAAUUUUGGGACGGAUGGAGUACAUU